UACGAAGGGGGCUAGCGUUGCUCGGAAUCACUGGGCGUAAAGCGCACGUAGGCGGCUUUUUAAGUCAGGGGUGAAAUCCUGGAGCUUAACUCCAGAACUGCCUUUGAUACUGAAGAGCUAGAGUCCGGAAGAGGUGAGUGGAACUGCGAGUGUAGAGGUGAAAUUCGUAGAUAUUCGCAAGAACACCAGUGGCGAAGGCGGCUCACUGGUCCACAACUGACGCUGAGGCGCGAAAGCUAGGGGAGCAAACAGG
rnacentral:rRNA from 1 species